rnacentral:rRNA from 1 species
UACGUAGGGUGCAAGCGUUGUCCGGAAUUAUUGGGCGUAAAGAGCUUGUAGGCGGUUUGUCGCGUUCUGCUGUGAAAUUUCGGGGCGUCAACCCCGAACCUUGCAGUGGGUACGGGGCAGACUAGAGUCCGGUAGGGGACCACGGGAAUUCCUGGUGUAGCGGUGAAAUGCGCAGAUAUCAGGAGGAACACCGGUGGCGAAGGCGGGUCUCUGGGCCGUAACUGACGCUGAGGCACGAAAGCUAGGGGAGCAAACAGG